rnacentral:rRNA from 1 species
UGGGGAAUAUUGCGCAAUGGAGGAAACUCUGACGCAGCAACGCCGCGUGAAGGAAGACGGCCUUCGGGUUGUAAACUUUUUUGAUGAGGGAAGAAAACAAUGACGGUACCUCAAAAACAAGCCACGGCUAACUACGUGCCAGCAGCCGCGGUAAUACGUAGGUGGCAAGCGUUGUCCGGAUUUACUGGGUGUAAAGGGCGUGUAGGCGGGGAAGUAGGUCAGAUGUGAAAUGCAAGGGCUCAACCCUUGAGCUGCAUUUGAAACCACUUUUCUUGAGUGAUAGAGAGGCAGGCGGAAUUCCUAGUGUAGCGGUGAAAUGCGUAGAUAUUAGGAGGAACACCAGUGGCGAAGGCGGCCUGCUGGCUAUUUACUGACGCUGAGGCGCGAAAGCGUGGGGAGCAAACA